rnacentral:rRNA from 1 species
CCUACGCGAGGCAGCAGUGGGGAAUAUUGGACAAUGGGCGCAAGCCUGACCCAGCAACGCAGCGUGAAGGAAGAAGGCUUUCGGGUUGUAAACUUCUUUUCUCAGGGACGAAGAAAGUGACGGUACCUGAGUAAUAAGUCACGGCUAACUAAGUGCCAGCAGCAGCGGUGAUACGUAGGUGGCAAGCGUUAUCCGGAUUUGUUGGGUGUAAAGGGCGUGUAGGCGGGAGUGCAAGUCAGAUGUGAAAACUCAGGGCUCAACCCUGAGCUUGCAUUGGCAACUGGGUUUCUUGAGUGCUGGAGAGGCAAGCGGAAUUCCGGGUGUAGCGGUGAAAUGCGUAGAUAUACGGAGGAACACCAGUGGCGAAGGCGGAUUGCUGGACAGUAACUGACGCUGAGGCGCGAAAGCGUGGGGAGCAAACAGGAUUAGAUACCCGAGUAGUC